rnacentral:lncRNA from 1 species
AAAAUGGGUGGCACCACUCCUGGGUUUAGGGCCCUGGACUGUGUGAGAGUAGAGGGAGCUGGCUGAGUACUAAGUAUGUAUCCUUUUUCUUUGCUCUUGACUGUGGAUAUGACAAGACCAUCUGUCUCAAGUUCCUCACUGUGACUUCCCCAUGGUGAUGGACUAUACACCUGGAAUUUUCCAGGAGGGAGCUGUGCAUGGGCGUGGCACUGGCAAGGCUGUUUCCUUGACCACCUCACCUCAGGCUCGUCUUUCCUCUGUCGUUUCCCUGGAGCUCAUCUCCUCUCUGCAUGUACCAGUCUCUUCAUAAGAUCACCGGCCAGGCUGAAUUAGUUCCCACCUUAAUAAACUCGAUUUAAAUCUC